rnacentral:rRNA from 1 species
UACGGAGGGAGCUAGCGUUGUUCGGAAUUACUGGGCGUAAAGCGCACGUAGGCGGCUUUGUAAGUUAGAGGUGAAAGCCCGGGGCUCAACCCCGGAAUUGCCUUUAAGACUGCAUCGCUUGAAUCCGGGAGAGGUGAGUGGAAUUCCGAGUGUAGAGGUGAAAUUCGUAAGAUAUUCGGAAGAACACCAGUGGCGAAGGCGGCUCACUGGACCGGUAUUGACGCUGGAGGUGACGAAAGCGUGGGGAGCAAACAGG